rnacentral:rRNA from 1 species
UACGAAGGGGGCUAGCGUUGUUCGGAUUUACUGGGCGUAAAGGGCUCGUAGGUGGCCAACUAAGUCAGACAUGAAAUCCCUCAGCUUAACUGGGGAACUGCGUCUGAUACUGGAUGGCUUGAGUUUGGGAGAGGGAUGCGGAAUUCCAGGUGUAGCGGUGAAAUGCGUAGAUAUCUGGAGGAACACCGGUGGCGAAGGCGGCAUCCUGGACCAACACUGACACUGAUGAGCGAAAGCCAGGGGAGCAAACGGG